UCCUGUCAAUCUCGAUCUGAACUGUGUUGCUAGGUGAAAAUUCCAACUUCCUGGGCAGAGGGCCAUGUAGUGGAAUAGAAGUACCUGGCUUCGGGCGAGACUUGGAAGUGCCUUUCGCCUCCCGCCAUGAUUCUGAGGCCUCCCCAGCCAUGUGGAACUAUUCUUGUGCUGUCACCCAGGCUGGAGUGCAAUGUUGAAAUCUCGGCUCACUGCAACUUCUGCCUCCCGGAUUCAGGCAAUUCUUGUGUCUCAGCCUCCUAAGAAGCUGAGAUUACAGGUUUCCCAGGUUUUGUGGGUGAAGAUGUCCUCUGACUGAUUCUCUGGCAAUCCUUUGAUGGCUGCUAGCUUAGGCCAACUUCUCUAGAGUGAUGACUAAACUAAAGGUUUACUUUGGGCAUGGCUUAAUAAGAAGUCAUAGAAACAAAAGGACUCCCACGUGUCUGGAUACCACACAUGCAUGUACACGCACAUAGCUGCACACAAUGGAAACCAGGUGGAGAAAAUCAGCUGACGGGGAGGAUGACUUGAUGAUUGACAUUGUCUCUAUUUUUUGUCAGUUUUUCUUUUUGAAAGUUCACUCCUGGAGAGAAAUUUUACCUCUGGAUGAAUCACAUCUUGAAUCUCAUGCAUUUAGAUAAUAUUUAGGUGAUAUAGUUUGGAUGUCCCCUCCAAAUCUCAUGUUGAGAUGUAAUCCCCGUGUUGAAGGUGGGGCCUGACCAGAGACCUCACGGUAGUGGAUUCCUCAAAGAACUUGGUGCUGUCUUCAUAAUGGAAGAGUGUCUUAGCCUCUGGACUACUGCCCAAUGAAGACAGCUAUGAAAUGCAUGGAUAACUUGUUAAUCAAUAUUUGUCGUAUGUACUGGCAGCAUCAGCAUCAGCUGGGAGCUUGUGGUGGUCUCCAGGUCAGACCUCAUGAAUCAGGAUAUCAGAGAGUGAGACCCAGGAAAGUGUGCUUUACUAAGUUCUUCAGGUGAUUCUUGAGUACUUUAAAGGUUGAGAAGCACUGUCUUAGGAUGUGGAGGAAUGAAGCUAGAGUGGCUGAGCUCUGUCAUUGACUAACCAUAUAAUCAUCAGAAAGUUACUUACCUUCUCUGGACCUUUGUUUCUUCUGCUAUGUAAAAGAUUUGUUGUGAAGAUAAAGCUUUUAGCACUUUGAAAGUGCAUAGAACUUAAUAAAACUCAGUAAACACCAUUACUAUUAUUGCAAUCAUGAUUGUUGCUAUUUUUUGAUCUUACCAUCUUCAGCAUGUUGCUGGCUGGUGGAACUACUCUUCUCCUGAGGGCAUUGUGUAUAUUAAUGAUCUCUUCUUGUACAUUUGGCAAGUCGGUGACGAGCUUAUUAAAUUGGUCUCUAGCUGAUUUCUUCUGUUACCAGAAAAAUAUUAAUUAGUGUUACUUCUUUUAAGUGGAAUUUGUCACAUAUAUUUUGCAGACCUAUAGGUAAUGCAAAUUUAUAGUUUAUAUUAAACAGUGAUUUAUAGCAUUUUUGAAUUUAUAAUGUCUCAUUAUAUUGGAUUCCAUUUCUCCAGUACUAAUUUUGAGGAUUUCUCAACGUCAGGCUGACAUUACAUUAGUCUUCAGAAUAAUGCACUUGUUAUCCUGUUAUUAGGGUUUUUCCAGGUUCAUACUUUGGACCAUGUUGAAGCACUUUUUAUUGGGCAAUAAUAUCCACAAAGGGAGAUAUCUUAAAAUCACACCUGUUACUUACUUCUCUGGCUUAUUCUCCACACCUCCCACCCUGCAACAAUUGUACUCUCUGCUUCCCAAAUAAAC